GUAUUCUUGGUGAAUUGGAUAAUGGCAAAUUACAUUUGUGAAAUAAUAAUUAGUUGAUAGAAUCCAUGUCUUGACUUUGAGAUUGAUGAUACCCCUUUAUGGAUGCUUAUAAGUCUCAUGUGAAAACCCUGCAGGUGGAUUUUGUAUCCGUCACAUGAUGUAAGUUAAGCAGAAAUAUAAAGGAUUCAAUUAGCCAAUGAAUUAAAUUGUCAGCAAUUUAAUUUAAUUGAUUGGUAUCUGUAAUCUUAACAUGGGGAGUUAAAUAAGUUUUAAUGUAUGAUUUUGAAAUUGAACUGAGGAGUGCAGUUACGAUUUUUUAGUGGAAUAAUUCGUAAUUUAUUAUGGUAUGAUUAAUUCAGAUUUCUUGAAUUAAUUCCAUAAUAGGAAGCCUCGAUAAUUAAAUUUUGUGGUCCCUGCUGUGCCCGAAUAAUAAAGAAUUAUAUGGAAUAUUAUUUCUAGGUGGAAAAUAAAGACCCAAUAGGUUUUGGAAAAGGGGAAAACCCUAAACCUGUAGUUAUAAAAUAAGGGUCUUAUUCCAUAAGAAGGCUAAGGGUUUUACAAGUUUCUACUCUUUUUCCAUAGAAAUUUGCCCACACGAAUUUCACAAAUUCUGGUAUUAUUUGGGUUACACAGCAGAAGACUGUGGAACUGAAGGAUGACGAUCAACUGGAUGGUGUGUGCUCGUGGUUGAAGAUUCGAUUCUUGGUCGCGGUCACGCUUCAAGAGAUAAGUAUCAAUUUUAUGUUUGAUUAAUAUCUUGAUUAUGUGUUGUCUACAUUACAUGCAAGUUCGAUCCUGGCUAUCUGUAUAGGUUAAAAACCGGAUGCGAGGCAAACCGGUAAAGCGAGGGGACUGACUGAUCUGCCUUCUUCGUCAUUGGAACGACCAAGCCCGGUGACCCGAGCAUUCGUGGCCGUUGGUCCGAAUUGAUCGUGGUCGUUGGUCCGUUUGACCGGGGCCGUUGGUCCGAAUUGAUCGUGUCCGCUGGUUCGUUUGAUCAUAGCCGUUGGUCCGAAUUGAUCGUGGCCGCUGGUCCGUUUGAUCAUAGCCGUUAGUCCGUUUGAUCGUGGCCGUUAGUCCGGGAAAUCGUGGCCGUUAGUUCGGGAAAUCGUGGCCGUUAGUCCGGGAAAUCGUGGCCGUUAGUCUGGGAGAUCCUGGCCGUUGGUCCGUUUUGGUCAUGGCCGUUGAUCCGGGAGAUCCGUUACGCGGUUGCCACGCGUCGAUAGCAUCCUGCCAUGGUCAACCACCAACCAUGUGUGCGUCAGAUCGUACGGCCAACCUAAUCCCACCAAAUCUGCUCAGAGUUGUCCUUUUUAUUAUUAUUCUAAUCAUUUGUAUGGGAAGAGGCCCAUAGAGGCAUCACUAUAAAUAGAGCACAUCCCCCUCCUUUGUAAGGGUUAGCUCCUUUACUUUCCAAGAAUAUUUAUAAUAAAAGAGCUCAUAUACACAAUCUCUCUCCCUCAAUAUCUGAUCCGGCCAAGGCCAUUUGUUUCCAUUUAUAUUGUGCUUCUUCCAUUAAGUAUUGAACAUAGCUUCUAAAUGUUCAUGUCCAUAGCAAAUCGAGCAAAUUAUCGUUAUUAGCCGUUUUAUUACUAAAUACUCACACGCUUAUUUUCCACUAUCAAACAUAUAUCAAGAUCCAAGCACAUAUCCUAUACCCAUCCACAAAUUUAAUUGAUUAUCCGAAUCCGGGGUAAACAGCUAUUUGCUUCCGCUGUUUAUGCCUGAUUUCCAUCAAAUACGGUAUCUUAUACUUGUUCUAUAUUCUCUCCAUGCAUGUAAGUUUAAAGCUUCGGCACCACAAUGUUGCUGUGCAAGUUUUGAUUGGGUUAGAACGUGACUUCCACGUUCUUAUUGGUUUCAUGCAAUCAAAAACUUGAUAUUUUCAUGGUUACAAUGGAUUUGCUCUAUCUUUAGCUUAAAUAUGUCUGGUGAAAUAUGAUAGGUAGAUUGUUCCACCUAGCUUGUAGUUAUUUUUGCCUUUUUGCAGUUAGAAGUGUGUCACAGAAAAUAUUCCUGCUAAUAUGGAAGCAAUUGUUUCUGACAAGCAGCAAGAACUAAUUGAAGCGGCCUUUGAGGUUUAUGAUGAGCUUGCCGUAGCAUUUCUGAAUUUAGCUUCCGUUUGGUAAAUGAAUGUGGAGAGAUAUCUUGUAGAAUCAGUGAGAAAUAAUAUUUGUACAUGGUGAAAGUGAUCAAAAGAUAAGUUCCUAUCCUAUCAUCCUAAAUGAUUUUUUUUUAAGACAUGGAGUUGUUGUGGAAAGGUCUUGCCAACGAGAUCCAAUUGGAGGAAGUAUAUGAUAUGCAGAAGUAGAAAAGGCUGCAGAUGCUUUAUCUUUAAUUUGGCUGUGCCUUUCUGCAGAUACAUUGCCUAUUUACAAGUAUUACAAGACGAACAUGAAUUACCAUAUGUGGGCUUACCGUUACAGGACUUGGCCUUGAUCAUGUAGCAGACAACUUUGUUGAAGAUGAAGAGAACUGAGGAAUUUCAGGUGGUGAAAGAAAAAGGGUGUCAAUAGGAGUUGACUUGAUCCUCGAUCCCCCUAUAUUACUCUUAGAUGAGACAACUUCAGGACUAGACAACAGUUUAGCACUUGGAAGUGAUUGAAUUGCUCUCAUCCACAACAAAAACAAAACUGAGAACCAUAAUUUUGUCAAUCCAUCCGCUUAGCUAUAGAAUUCUUCAAUAUAUUUCUAAAUUCGAAAAUAAAAAUUUAGGGAAUUCUUUGUGAUAGCAAUAUGUAUGAACUCUUAAAUUACCAAAAUGUAAACUUACAAA